GCAUACGAAUCUGCCCGAUAGUGGGGGAUAACCUGGGGAAACCCAGGCUAAUACCGCAUACGUCCUACGGGAGAAAGGGGGCUCCGGCUCCCGCUAUGGGAUGAGCCUAUGUCGGAUUAGCUAGUUGGUGAGGUAACGGCUCACCAAGGCCACGAUCCGUAGCUGGUCUGAGAGGAUGAUCAGCCACAUCGGGACUGAGACACGGCCCGAACUCCUACGGGAGGCAGCAGUGGGGAAUAUUGGACAAUGGGGGAAACCCUGAUCCAGCCAUGCCGCGUGUGUGAAGAAGGCCCUCGGGUUGUAAAGCACUUUCAGCGAGGAAGAACGCCUAGCGGUUAAUACCCGCUAGGAAAGACAUCACUCGCAGAAGAAGCACCGGCUAACUCCGUGCCAGCAGCCGCGGUAAUACGGAGGGUGCAAGCGUUAAUCGGAAUUACUGGGCGUAAAGCGCGCGUAGGUGGCUUGAUAAGCCGGUUGUGAAAGCCCCGGGCUCAACCUGGGAACGGCAUCCGGAACUGUCAAGCUAGAGUGCAGGAGAGGAAGGUAGAAUUCCCGGUGUAGCGGUGAAAUGCGUAGAGAUCGGGAGGAAUACCAGUGGCGAAGGCGGCCUUCUGGACUGACACUGACACUGAGGUGCGAAAGCGUGGGUAGCAAACAGGAUUAGAUACCCUGGUAGUCCACGCCGUAAACGAUGUCGACCAGCCGUUGGGUGCCUAGCGCACUUUGUGGCGAAGUUAACGCGAUAAGUCGACCGCCUGGGGAGUACGGCCGCAAGGUUAAAACUCAAAUGAAUUGACGGGGGCCCGCACAAGCGGUGGAGCAUGUGGUUUAAUUCGAUGCAACGCGAAGAACCUUACCUACUCUUGACAUCCUGCGAAUUUGGUAGAGAUACCUUAGUGCCUUCGGGAACGCAGAGACAGGUGCUGCAUGGCUGUCGUCAGCUCGUGUUGUGAAAUGUUGGGUUAAGUCCCGUAACGAGCGCAACCCUUGUCCUUAUUUGCCAGCGCGUAAUGGCGGGAACUCUAAGGAGACUGCCGGUGACAAACCGGAGGAAGGUGGGGACGACGUCAAGUCAUCAUGGCCCUUACGAGUAGGGCUACACACGUGCUACAAUGGUCGGUACAAAGGGUUGCCAACUCGCGAGAGUGAGCCAAUCCCGAAAAGCCGAUCUCAGUCCGGAUCGGAGU
rnacentral:rRNA from 1 species